rnacentral:lncRNA from 1 species
AUUGGUCGAGGAUGUGGAGGAGGAAGGAGUGAACAAUAGGGAGAGCGCAAUUCUUCCACGAAACACCAAAGGAAUUGAAGACCCGACAGAGCACGAAGAUUGCGUGCAAGAUAAAUCUGGCCAUUACAACACCCGUGAAUAUCGGGAUGAAAAUAAAUUGAAGAAAGUCAGUUCGUUCUUUAAGAGCAUGUGGAAACCCGUUAAGAGAUAAGAUUUUGUACGCGCAAACAAAGUUGAAUUUAGCCUCUGAAAUUGGCAAUAAAUCGAGUGUGGCGCUAAGCCGAAGUAUCGAUUACACCAAAAAUUUUAUAUGCUAUUAAUUUAAACACAAAUUUGAGUUUGAAAUGUUUGCGAUUUGAUGAGAAUCACAAUUUUCCUGUAUUGUUUGGCGCUGUAUCGAGAUUUGGCGGCGUAUUCGUCUAUCAAGCCAGUGUCAUCACUGAUUCGAUGAAAUGUUAAAAUCGAAAUGAAAAAUAAGCUAUUUUGAAUGAAAAAUUAAAUUCUAAACAUCACCGAACCAAUGAAUUAGUAGAAAACUUCAUUAUCUAACUUUCACUCAUUGUAGGCCAAUUGAUAGAAAUUCGGCGAAACCUCGAUAUAGCGCCGCAAUAUGUCUUAAUGGAAUUCAAAUCGAGCUAGGCGUUUUCGAUGAAUAAUUAUACCUGUACUUAAUUUUCUACAUUUAGAUCCAUGCAGAAAGUGUGUAAAAUGGCAAAAAGUGGAGAAUGCGAGUACGUUCAGUUCCAUUGAGUGUCUCUUGUCUUCCAUUUUCCAUCGAGAAUAAGAUCUAGGCUACUGCAUAAUUUGCUAUAAAUAAUUUGCUGGAUUUGGUCCGAGUUGGCUUUGGAUUUCUGAAGAAAUUUAGAGAUUUUCAUUAACAUUGGAUAUGGUCCUUUCCGAAAGUCGUCCAUGACUUGAAUCCUUCUUCUGAUUUUGACUUCUCGAUUGUGUCAUCUUUAAUUACUAUUAUGAUUUCCCGAUUUUGACUUCAUCCCGCCUGUGUCUCCUUAUUAUUAUCUUUUAGUAAAUUACCAUUUUCUCAAAUUGGAUUAUAAGAAUUUUUACUUACGAAUUAUGUUUAUCCCCGAAUUUGACUCCUGAAUCGUGUCUGUAUUCGAAUUUGGACUCUCCGGAAUUAUGUAUACCCUCGAAUUUGAUUACCGAAUCGUGUCUGUAUUCGAAUUUGGACUCUUCCGGCUUUUGUCUGUGCUCAAAUUUGAUUCCCAAUUUGUGUUAUCCCUGAAACUUGGACUCUCCGGAAUUGUGUUUUUACUCGAAUUUGAAUUUUCUCAAAUUGUGUCCAUUGCUUGUGACGUCGUUUAAAUUCACUGAAAGUCCGAUGAACGUGAGAAACACGAAAAGACGAAGUUUUGAUACAUAAACAGAAGAAAUCUUUUUAAAAUUAUUUGUGAAGAACGAAAGUUUCCAGAUAAAAAUUGCGUUAAACGAAAUGUAUUACGAAAUCGAUCGUAAAGUUUUAUGAUGAAAUUGUAUUUGGAUAUACUCAAUUGGAUAUUUGUAUUUGGUAUACUCAAAAACCUGAGACA